rnacentral:rRNA from 1 species
GAUGAACGCUGGCGGCGUGCCUAAUACAUGCAAGUCGAGCGAGGUCGAUUUGAAAGCUUGCUUUCAAAUCUACCUCGCGGCGGACGGGUGAGUAACACGUGGGUAACCUGCCCUUUAGAUUGGGAUAACAUCAGGAAACUGGUGCUAAUACCGAAUAGGAAGAAGAGUCGCAUGACUUUUCUUGGAAAGGUGGCGUAAGCUACCACUAAAGGAUGGACCCGCGGCGCAUUAGCUAGUUGGUGGGGUAACGGCCUACCAAGGCGACGAUGCGUAGCGGACCUGAGAGGGUGAUCGGCCACACGGGGACUGAGACACGGCCCAGACUCCUACGGGAGGCAGCAGGAGGGAAUCUUCGGCAAUGGGCGAAAGCCUGACCGAGCAACGCCGCGUGAGUGAAGAAGGUUUUCGGAUCGUAAAACUCUGUUGUAAGGGAAGAACAGCAGGUAGUUAAAUAAGCUACUUGUGUGACGGUACCUUAUUAGAAAGCCACGGCUAACUACGUGCCAGCCGCCGCGGUAA